rnacentral:lncRNA from 1 species
AUGAAGUGCUGGUUCAUUUUCCCUAAUUCUUUUUCCUCCCUGUCCUCCUUUACAGAAUCCUAUUCUAAGAAGGUAGGCCCCCAGGUGUCCGCCAUUGUAUUGGGUCCUGAACAGAAGAUGUCAAAUGAAAAUGCUUCUGGAGGUCAUGGGGACUCUGCCAGCCUUGAUGACAUCAGCUCUGCCUGUAGUAACUCCUCCCUUCCGCAGUCCACUGGGCAUGCAGAGGAGCCUUUUGCCACCGACUUUGCGAGAAGAUUGCCAUUCCUGAGGAGGAGGUCAGUACCAGGUCACAAGGCGAACUGUGUCCUGCUGAAAGCCUGUGAAAGGAAGAUCUGCUAGACAACUUAAGUGCCAGAGCUCUAGUUCUAAUUUUGACAGUCAAUCUCUGAAAAUAGGAUUUUAUAAUAAGAAUAAACUUUUCAGAAAGACGAGGACCUUAAAUAUAGCUGCUAAGUAAAAUGGUUAGCAUUUUUUAUCAGAAAAUCACGGAUUUCACGUUUUUAAAGUUGUGGCUCUUGUUCCAUUUGGGGAGUGAUUGGACCCAGAGGUACUGAUUGGGUUUCUCUGAUCAUAGAUGAGAUGUGACUGAAAUGACAGGCAGGGAAGGGUUCCUAAAUAGACAGAGAAAUGGCCAGCUUGUCAAUGGAAAAUGGUUAUGGAGGAGAAAUGUAGAUACAUACAAAAUUCAGCCCUGAUCUUUUAUUCUUAUGAAGCUGAUAUUGCUGCUUUUUAUUGAUAAAAGAGCAAAUAAAUUAGGUGAUACUCAGUUUGCUCUCUUUUCCUCUCUUGUGUAGUAUUCUUGUUUCAGCUUUCGUAAACUCUGGGCAUUCACAGGACCAGGCUUUCUCAUGAGUAUUGCCUAUCUGGAUCCAGGAAACAUCGAAUCUGAUUUGCAGUCUGGAGCAGUUGCUGGAUUUAAGGUAAAAGUCUAGUCUGACCCUACCCUCUAAACACAUACAGUUCGCCCUCAUAUCCUUUUCUCUAUCCUGGUCAUGGAGCGUAGCUGCAGUAAGUACAAAUACUUACAGUUGGCCUUUGAACAAUAUGGGUUGGACUGCGUAGGCCCAUUUGUGUGUGAGUUCUUUUGUUGGAGAUUUUGACAAUCUGAAAACCCAACAGAUGAAUUAUAUAACAUAGAAAUAUUUUUAAAAUUAAGAAAAAGGCACCAGGGAUUUAGCUCAGUGGUGCUGCCUUCCUCACAAGUGCAAGGACCCGAGUUCGAAAGAAAGAAAAAGGUGGGCCAGGGAUUUAGCUGAGUGGUUCAGUGGCCUGCCUUGCAAGCGCAAAGACCCGAGUUCGAUCCCUGGUACCAAAAAUAAAAAAGAAAGAAAGAAAAAGGUAUGCCACGACUGUAUAAAAUAAACGUCUUAAUUACCUCUCUGCCUUUUGGCUAAGAUCAAGGAUAAAAUAAACAGUUACUUUUCUCCUUGCUUAGACAAUAUAUCCAACACCCAAAGUUAAAUGAGGAAAGAUUUAUUGUAACUGAUGGUUUGCAGAGGUUUUAGUUUGUAGUUGGCUGAUUUCAAGGUAUGGUGGCUUGGCAGAGGGGCAUCACAGAAGAAAAUCAGUUUAUGGAGGCAGGAGGCAGCAAGCAGCAAGCAAGCGACAAUAGCAGUCCUCUUUCUGUCCCUUAUAUUCUAUCCAAGCUGCCUGCCCUUAAUCCUACCAUCACAUAAUCAGUCCCAGUGUCACAUCCUUAAUCCCAGCAUCACCCCCUCCAGAUCCAGCCACCUCUGAAAAGUCACACCUAUGACCUCAGGAGGCUUUCAGGGGAUAUCUAGAUACAAGCCAUAGCAAUAAAUAUAAAUAAUAAUCUGUUUUAUCAUUUACUAGUCUAAAAUAAACACAAACCUAUUUUUAAAAGUUAAAGUUUAUGAGCUUACACAGAGUCCAUAUGUGUUGCCAUGCACAGUUGAGAGAAAUGUAAUCAAAUAUAAAAACUGUGAUUUAAAUCAUAAAUAGAUAAAAUUAGCUGUAAUACAAGCAAGAGCAGUGGUAUGCAUCUGUAAUACCUGCGUUAUGGAGGGGUUAGGGAGGCAGAGGUAGGAGGGUCACAAGUUUGAGGCCCAGGCUAGACAGGUUAGUGAGACCCGCUUCAAAAUUAAAAACAUGGCUGGGAAUGUAGCUGAGUUGUAGAGCACCCCAGGAUUCUGUCCCCAGACUAUAUACACUCACACACAUAGAAAACAUAAUAUAUAUAUAUAUAUAAUACCCUCUAAUAAAUUUAUAGCUACCUCCUGCUGCUAUUGUGGUGAGCUG